UACGUAAGUGGCGAGCGUUAUCCGGAAUUACUGGGCGUAAAGCGUGCGUAGGCGGUUUAGUGUGUGGGAAUUGAAAGCCCGGGGCUCAACUCCCGGGAUCCGGUUCCCAAACUGCUAGACUCGAGAGUAUCAGAGGAGAGCGGAAUUCCCGGUGUAGCGGUAACUAUGCGUAGGAUAUCGGGAGGAACACCAGUGGCGAAGGCGGACUCUCUGGGGUAUUUCUGGACGCUGGAGGCUACGAAAGCCAGGGGAGCGAACGGGAUAGAGUACCC
rnacentral:rRNA from 1 species